UAAAUUUGUAGGUAUUGGUACUAAUUUUUCUUACCCAAAAAAUUAUGAAUAGAACGAGCGACACUACAACAAAAACGGUCUAUAGCGACACUUUUAAAUGUAGGCACAUGUCAAAAAAGUGCUGCUAGCUAAAAUUACCGACACUUUUAAAAAGUGUUGCUAUAUGUGGGGUCGCUAGGUAUAUAGUGACAGUUAAAGAGUGUCGCUAUAACCUAAAAGAGUGCUGCUAAUUUAUCAACACUUAUUUAAGCAUUUAGCAACCGUCGAAACUCUAUCUCGUUGGCUGCGGUGGCGGAGGAGGACGACAGUAAAGGCUCUUCGUCUAGAAUUUCAGUGGAUUGAGUGAUGAGAGAAGAAAAGAUGGUAAUUGAUUUUUCUUUUUUUUUUUCUUUUCUGUUUGUAAUCGGGCCAAAUGGACUGGGUGUGGUGGGUUGAGUAGAGUAAUCUUUUAUUUUUGGUUGAAUUGGGCUUUAUAUUUAGGUAUUAGUAUAUGUGUUUUUAAGUUUUAGCAUAAAUGGGAUACUUACUCAAAAGUGUCCCAAACAUGUGUCCCUAUAACCUAAUUCUGUUGUAGUGCGAGUAUUCAUUAAAUUAUAAAAAAUUUGGACAACCCACAUGUACGUACCCACAAGUAGUACCCAUAUAUAUAAUAUCUUUAAAAAAAAUGAAAAAUGAAUAAUUCUUUUGUUUUACUCGUCUCUAGAACCCUAACACUAAUUUCUGUUAAUGUUAUUUUUAAAUUUUUAUUAUGUACUAUCUGUUGGGAUAUUGUACACAAUAAGAUAACUUUUAAUCUUAAAACUAAUUAUAUAUUUAAUUUGUAUAAUUGAAAAAUAUAAGAACCGAAAAGGGAAAAAAAUUGUGAGUAAUCUGCAUACCCUGGUCGAUCCGCGGACUAUUGUGGGUAAGAAUGAAUGAUGACUGCACUGAAUUUAGGCACUUGCAUAAUUCGCAGGUAAAGAUGGCUCGUCCUGUCGUCCACUGAUUGCCCAACCAACACUACAUGAAACAGUGUCGUUUCAACGUCGUAUUCGAACUACGUGGACCAUCGGAUACGUGGUGUAUGGAAAUGCGCACCUGAUCGUUGUCAAAAAUUUGUCGUGUAAGAGCGGAAAAACUCGGUGUGUUUCGACCACACACCUGCUUGGUUCGAGGGCAGCGACAAAGAGAGCACUGUCUCGUCGUUUCUUCUUUUCUUAUCGCCUUCGCCCUCGACACGCAAAGCUCGUGCAUUUCCUUCGUGAAAUGAUUGCAUAUGAUCGAUGUUCACGCAAACCCAUGUGACAUGUCAAUGAAAGCUACAUUCUAGCUAGGAAGGGAAAACUUCGUAGCCCCUUGUGGUUUCGUACUUUUUUAUUUUAAUACCUUAUGAUUUAAAGUGUAUCAAAUUAGUACCCUUUGGUUUCUCACUUCAUCAUUUUAAUACUAUGUGGUUUAAAGUGUAUCAAGUUAGUACCCUGUGGUUUUAUUUUUGUAUCAAGUUAGUACCCUGUGGUUUAAAGUGUAUCAAGUUAGUACCAUGUGGUUUCUCACUUUAUCAUUUUAGUACACUGUGGUUUAAAGUGUAUCAAGUUAGUAUUUUAUAAUUUUAUUUGUAUCAAGUUAGUAUCCUGUGGUUUUAUUUUUGUAUUAAGCUAGUACCAUGUGGUUUAAAAAACCACAGGGUACUAAAGUGAUAAAAUGUGAAACCACAGGGUACUAACUUGAUACACUUUAAACCACAGGGUACUAAAGUGAAAAAGUGCAAAACCAUAUGUACUAACUUGAUACAUUUUAAACCACAGGGUACUAAAGUAAGAAAAAGUGAAACCACAAGGAUAAUAUAGGAUAAUAUAGGAUAAUAUAGCCUAAAAUUAAAUAGGAUAAUAUAGCGUCAUAAUAUAUAAAUAAAUUAUAAGAUAGUAUAUUGUUAUAAUUUAUAAAUUUUAUAAUAAUAAGUAAAACUUAUAUAUUGAUAAAAAUUGAGCUUCUAUACUUUUAAAAACAUAAAGUCAUAAGUGCUCUAGAUUUUCGGCCUUUUGAUAAAGUUUUGUAGGGUUAGGAUAAUAAUAGUUGGCUCCAAUAGAGUUGAAUGAUUGGUUGAUGGAAUAGCAUACUUUAAGGAGUAAAAUUAGUCGAAGGAAUAGAUCUAAUGAUGAAAAACUUAUAAUUAAUCAACAAAUAGUUUGUGCUUUUAAAAGCAUCGUAGCCGGACUCUAUUAGUAAUAUGUUAUAUUUUAUUAUUCUAUAAUUUAUAAAAUAUGCACUUUGUAAUUAGGGAUGCAAAUGAAACCCAAUUGAUAGAGUUCCCGCUAUGAUAUGUAUAAGGCGGCAAGUGAAGGCCAAGCGAAAUCUGAUUGAUAGAGAUCCUAUUAUGAUCCACCUCGAAUAUAUAAGGCGGUAAGUGGAGACCAAAAAAAAAAAGGAAGAAAGUCUUCUAAUUCGCCCUAAUCCGCUUAAAAAAUAGAGAGGGAGGCGGAAGAGCUCUUUCUUCCAUUAUCCGUACCUAAUCCAUUAAAAAUUCGCUCAUAUCCGGACCCACCCCGAAUGUAGCAGUAAUUAAGUAGGAGAAAAAGAUUGAAUAAAAAUCAACCCGUCUCAAAACAGUCCGGACCGCUAAGAAAACGAGGCAGAAGGUGGGGGGACCUGAUCUCCCCCUUUCGGCUCCAACCAGUUUUCAACCCUACUUGUAAUUUGUAAAUUGUAAUACUUUACUUAUUUAUUUAAUAAUAGAUUUUUAUGAUUAAAAAUAAGUAUCAAAUUGAAUCUCUUCAAAUCACAAUUCGCAAAGUAAAUUUGUAGUAGACUAUAAUGGCUAAUUGAAGUUACCCAGAAAAUAUUCUCAGCCAAUUUUGAAGUGAGUGGUGUUAAUAAUAGAUAGUAAUUUACUAAUAGCAAUUAAAUUGGUUUAGUAAAUUUGAUUAUCAUGCACAUAAUUAUUGAUUUUGAUUGGAUUUAACAAAUCUAAUUUGCCAGAUAAAAUCGUAUUGAAUUAAAAUAAUUAAAAAUUAAAAGCAUUUUUUUUUUACAUACAAGUUUAUAUUUUAAUUUGACAUUUCCAAAAAUUUAGUCACCAACCAAUAAACUGAAAUUGGUGGCCUGAAAAACUGAAUAUUAGUUUCCAUUUAACCACUCAUUUUUGUUGUAAAUUCUCUGUAAUUUUUCCAAAAUAAAGCAUUUCGUGAUGCUUGAUUCAACUCUACUUUGGAAUCAUCUUUUAGGGAUAUCAUGAUAAUCGAAUUAGCUAAUUAGAGAAAUUUUACCAAAUUUAAUAGAGCAGCUUAAAUGAAAUAAAAUUUUUGUUCAUGUAUCAAUUAAUGGCAACAAGUUAAAAGAGUUUUUACUUUUUGACAAAAAAUUUUUCACUUGACCUAUUGGUUUCCUUGAAAUUGAUCUAACCUUACUCUCUAAAUGAACAAUUAAUCAAAAUGGAAAUUAACAUACCAAAUUAAUCAAAAUUUUUGUUCAUGUAUCAAUUAAUGGCAACAAGUUAAAGAGUUUUUACUUUUUGACAAAAAUGUUUUCACUUGACCUAUUGUAUUCCUUGAAAUUGACCUAACCUUACUCUCUAAAUGAACAAUUAAUCAAAAUGGAAAUUAACAUACCAAAUUAAUCAAUCCACCUAAUUUGUUUCCAUUCCAUUACAAUUAUAAGCUUUACAAAAACAAAGCAAGCUUCCUCAUCACAUCACAUGCAUGUACGUACACUCCAUGUACAACAUCUAGCUAAUUUAAUGGAGGAAAUUAACAACAUGCAUGUACGUACGUACGUACGUAACACCCAAACCUGUGAUCCCGAAUCUCAAAGCGCCGUCAAGGAGUUCAUCAUCAUCAUGGCCUUAAACUCCUCAAAAUCGACCACCCCGUCCCCAUUCCUAUCCACCCCUCUUAUCAUAAGCCGGCACUCUUUCAGACUACACCUGCGCCCCAACCCGGCCAACACCCGCCGCACCUCCUCUGCCGAAAUGUAUCCGUUGCGGUCGGCAUCGAACACGCGGAACGCCUCCCGGAGCUCCUCCUCCUCGUCGACGCCCGCGCCCCUUUCCGACACCGCCCGCAUGAACUCGUCCAAAUCGAUGAACCCGUCGCCAUCGCAGUCCGCCUCCCGCACCAUCCCCUCCGCCUCCCGCGCUACCGUCGACCUUGCGAAAACAACCGACCCAUCGGUCCAAACGUAGUUUCAGCUACGUACUAAAUAACGGUGUUCAAAUAUUAAACUUGUAAUCGAUAUUCCGCCUCACAUCUGUGUUCAAGAUUUUUUAAUUUGCCUAAAAUAUGUACUUUGUUAGUUAAUUGGAUUAUUUCUGAACUAUUGCCUAUCAAAUGGAUCUACUAGGCAGUAUUAUUUCAGAGCAGUAGGUGUUAAAUUUGAAUUUCAACCCACGGGCAACCUCAUUUAAUUUUAAUUUAAGCUGUUAUUUUGAGCUUUUCAAAAUAUUUUGAGUCUAGCUAGAUAUGAGAAAAAAUAUUGAAUAUAUAUAUAUAUAGAGAGAGAGAGAGAGAGAGAGAGAGAGUGCGGCUAGGAUGCUUAUGGAAGUACGGAGGGCUCCGUGCUUCCACUUUGUUUUCGAUGUUCGGACUUUCGAAUCGACGAUCGGCUCCGUUAGACUUGAUCUAGAGUAUUUGAAGUAUCUAGAAAAUAAAUUUUGCGAUUUUUCGAUAUCAUUUGCCUAGUGAUCGAAGUGGCUCAAAAUCAACGGCUGAAAAUAAAAAUCUUACAAAAUAUGAUGAUAAGACAUUAAAAUUUUAAACCAAAAUUAUUAAUCUUGUUUUAUAUGGUAUAAAUAAUUUUCUAUCAAAAUUUCAUGUGAUUUGAAUAUUUCUAUACCGUUAAACUUGCAACCGGCUCACCACAACCGUUAAAAUUAUUGAUUUUGAGCCCCUUCGAUCACUAGGCAAAUGAUAUCGAAAAAUUACAAAAUUUAUUUUCUAGGUACUUCAAAUACUCUAGAUCAACUCUAACGGAGCUGAUCGUCGAUUCGAAAGUCCGAACAUCGAAAACGACUUGGAAGCACGGAGACCUCCGUGCUUCCAUAAGCAUACCAGCACAACUCUCUCUCUCUCUCUCUCUCUCUCUCUAUAUAUAUAUAUAUAAUUAAGCUUCUAUGCUUUUAAAAGUAUAAAGUCAUUGGUGCUUGUAAGCUUUCGACUCUUGGAUUAAGAAAUGUGCGAUUAGAAUAAUGUGGGCCCUCUAGGGUUGAGUGGUUAGUUGGUUGAAUAGUAUAAUCUAACGGGUGAAAAUGAUAUAUAUAUAUAUAUAUAUAUAUAUAUAUAUAAAUUGUCUAUCGAGCUAAAGAUUUUAGGGCACGUUUAGUUCAAAAUAGCAAUUGAAAUCGGCAUAGACCGGAAUGGAAAUGAGUUGUAAUCGAAAAGAGAAUGAUAAAAAUAAUUAACAAUUUGUUUGGUUCAUUAAAAAAAUCGAAAUCAAAAUUAUAUUCAAAUUAAAAAAUUUAUUAAAUUUAAAUUUGUUACUCAAAUGUAUAGUCAAAAUUUGAAUUCAAAUAUGAACUUAUAAUUUUAAACUUAAAAUUUGUGAAUAUACAAUUCAAGUUCAAGGUCAAAGUCAAAAUUUAAAUUUAAAACCAUUAAAUUAAAAUUAAAAAAUUAAAUUUAUUGAAUUUAUUUUUAAAAUUUUAUUUGACUUCAAAUAGUUAUUAGUGGAAAAAAAAAAACAAAAAAGAAUCCUCAAUCGGAAUCAAAACUAACUCCCACCUGUACGGUGGGAGUCACUUUUGACUUUCGAGGGAUUCGAAUCCACCGUGAUGAUGAGAAUCCAAAAUGCUAAAUAAAUCCCUCCAUUUAAAUACUAAUUAACAGUAAGAAGGGUACUUAUUUCAAUUUUCAUUCUAAGUCUCAAAUAUUUCAAAUCAAACCUACCCUUAUUAAGAUUAUUUCUGUGCUUCACAUAUUUGAAUUAAAUAAAAAUAAAUUGAAUAAAACUAGCUAGGAGUAAAAUUUGAGCUCGAAAACACUGACUCUGAUACCAUAUUGAAAAACGACUUAUUAUUACUCUAAACUUAAGCUAGAUACCGGAGCAACGGUGUUUUAAUAUUUUAUAUUCAACACGCGAUACCUCUCGUGGCCGAGACGGAGCAUGAUGUCGCGGAGCUCCCCCGCGGAGAUCUUGCCGUCGCCGUUGGAGUCGAUGAGGUCGAACACUCGCCGCAGUUGGUUCGGAAGCUCCGCCGCCGCGGCGGCGGCGGCGGCGGCGGGGGAGGCUGCUGAAGAGAUCCACUUGAAGUUGCUGCUGGCUCUUCUCCCCCUCCUGCUCACGGCCUUGAAUUUUUGCAAAAAACCCCCUACCUUUUCCGGAGAGAACAUUUUCCCUUCAAGGAUGAGGAGGAGUUGUUAGGGGGGGAGAGAGAGAGAGAGAGAGAGAGAGAGAGAGAGUAGAUGGGCUAGAGCCUAGAGGGAGGAAGAGGAGGAGAGAGAGGCCAUGGGAGGAGGAGUGUGAGGAGUGGGUGGUGGGUGCAUGUGAGAGGGAUUGAAUUGGUUGCUAGUUUUAUAAGAGAGAAAUUAUUGCCGAGACCUGAUCCACCAUGCUAACAAAAAAAAAAUAAAAAAAUAAAAAAAAGAGUUCAGAAAUAGUCUUUUAAUAAUAGAUCCCACUCAUGUGCACAGCGAAGAUCAGGUGAAUAGCACGCACAAGCAGAAGAAGCAGUGAGAAAAAUUAUACUAUUUUGUAUCACCCUCAAACGACAGAUAUAAUUAAAAGAUAGGAGGCAAUUAUUUUUAUGUUCUUGAAAAGUUUUCGAUUUUUUAAUUUUUCUCUCUUAGAAUGCUAAUAUUGAAAAAAAAAAAUUUACAUUACAAUUUAUUUUAAAUAUAAAAUCUGUUAUUGAACUAUUAGUAAUAACUGUUAUUUAUAUAAAAUUACUAUUAUACCCUUUCAAAUAUACCCUUCUACUAUUACCAACUUUUUUUAAAUUGGGGACACAAAAAGUAUUUUAUUUUUUGAUUUUUUCAAAUAUGCUUUUGUACCAUCACCAAUAUUUCUUAUUUGUUCUUAAGUUAAGGGCAAAAAAGAUAUUUUGAUUUUUUUAACUCUGAUAACUAUUAAACUCAUGUUUAAGCUAAGUUAACUUAAAGGGGUGGUAAUUGUAGGGAUAUUUUGAAAUAAUAGAGGAACAUAUGACGAGUAUAUUGAAAAGAAAAAAAAAACAAAAGUAAGGACACAUGAAAUAUUUUCGAAGUUUUAAGAAGUAUAUAGGCAAUUAUCUCUAAAAGAGAUAUCUAAAAUCUCCUUAAGGGUGCGUUUGGUUCGCGCUAUCCUUUUAAGAUUCCUAGUAAUCCAAUAGGAAUAAAAAAAUAUGACGGUAUUUGACUAAACGCACUAAAUAAUCUAGUUAGUAAUACUAGAUUUACUUGGAAAUGAGAUGCAUCCUAAAGUACUAAUCUCAUUUCUUUGAGGAAUGGUGGGUAUCCUUUUAUUAAUGGAUUAGAGUAAUUAUAAUAUGUCUAAUCUUUUUUUUCUUCCCACCCGCCAGAUAGUUGGUAUUAUUUUUCUUUACACUCUAACCUCAUCUCUCUAAACUUAUCUUUUUUUUUCUAAACUUCAACUCUUUUUCUCUCUCUAAAUUAAGCUAUUUCUCCCUCUCCUUUUCUAAAAUCUCAACCCUCUCAUUCUUUCUAACCUUGACUCUAUUUCUCUUCUAUUUCUUUAAUUAUGCUUUUUCUUUCUAACCUAUAUUCUCUCUCUAGGAAUAAAAUUCUCAUAUAUCUUUUUACUUCUCAUAAUCUUUCAUAGUGCGAAUCAAACGCACCCUAAAAAUAGGUGGUUUUAGAAUAACUGAGAUAAAAGAAAGAGCAAUUCAGAAAUAUAUAUAGUCUUGAUAAAAAAUAUUGAUAAAAUCUAACAUUCUAUACAUAUUGUUGAGCUUGUUGAAAAGCUCCAAUUACUAGCUAGCUAAUCAGAAAAACUAGUUCGGAGACUAAUUAGAAAUUUUUUUUUAAAAAAAAUAAGGCAUAAAUUAGAGUUUGCAUACAAUUUUAAAUUUAUUCAAACCAAUCCAAAACUUAAUUUACGGAGAUGCUCUUACACAAAAGGUUUUUUUGAGAAAUAGGCAGCAAGUUACCUGCUUCACUUCUCUUACACAAAAGUUACAAAUGACCCCACCCAAUGAAUAGUGAGAGUGGGCUGGUAUGCUUAUGGAAGUACAGAGCUCUUCGUGCUUCCAAGUUGUUUUCGAUGUUCGGACUUUCGAAUCGACUAUCGGCUCCGUUAAAGUUGAUCGAAAGUAUUUGAAGUACCUAGAAAAUAAAUUUUGUGAUUUUUCAAUAUCAUUUGCCUAGUGAUCGAAGGGGCUCAAAAUCAAUAAUUUUAACGGCCGUGGUGAGCCGGUUGCAAGUUUAACGGUGUAGAAAUAUCCAAAUCACAUGAAAUUUUGAUAGAAAAUUCUUUAUACUAUAUAAAACAAGAUCAAUAACUUUGAUCUAAAAUUUUAUUGUCAUAUCAUCAUAUUUUGUAAGAUUUUUAUUUUCAGCCGUUGAUUUUGAGCCACUUCGAUCACUAGGCAAAUGAUAUCGAAAAAUCGCAAAACUUAUUUUCUAGAUACUUCAAAUACUCUAAAUCAAGUCUAAUGGAGCCGAUCGUCGAUUCGAAAGUCCGAACAUCGAAAACAAAGUGAAAGCACGGAGUCUUUCGUGCUUCUAUAAGCAUCCUAGCCGCACUUGAAUAAUGAAUAUAUAUACGGAACUACUAUUCUUAGGACCUGUCCACAGUGGACCUGGCCCACGCAACAGUUUCUACUUAUUGAAAAGCAAGCGCACUUAUUGGAUGGUACUCGAUGGGCCCCACAUGGGCCAGCAAAUUAGGUACGAAGUUUGGUGGGGUUUUGAUGGAGAGGAGUAAAAUUUUUUAAAUUUUAAUUUUAAUUUUACGUCCGGGUGUUGAUGAGGGUCUUUUGGUUGAUUGAUGAUCUUCCGAUGCUUGCUGGAUUGGAGAAAAGUGUUGGCGAAAGUGACGUUGGCAGAUCCCACCGCCGUAGGGGUAGGUGUUAUCUUGUUCACGGUCAAAAUGCAUGAAUGGUCCUUGUCCAACCCUGAUAUUGCAAAACCUCUCUUUUUUUUAUAAUUAUAAACGAUGCCAGGGACUAAAUUUAGUAUAUGUGAAAAUAAGCGAGAAAAGUUUCUUUUUUUUUUUUUUGAGAGAUAGGUAGCACGCUACCCGCUUCAUUUAUUUCAUUUAGAAAUAAACUUAGCUAGAAAUGUGAAUCAACUAGAAUUCAAACUUGGAUCUCGGAUACCAACCACCAAACCUUUUGCCAAUUGCUCUAGGGACGGUCGAUGAGAAAAAUUAGUAUAAUAUUUUUCAGUCUCCCUGAAGUACCUGAAGUAACAUAGAGGUAUUUUUCUAUAUGUUUUUGGUUAGAUAUAAUUAUAAACGCAGUGUAGUUGAAGAUAUAUGCAUGUAGUGGCAAAGGGCUUGAUAGUUGGUAUCUGAAAUUUUAAGUUCGAAUUCUAGUUGAUUUAUAUUUCUAGUUAAGUUUAUUUCUAAAUGAAAUAAACGAGCUACCGAUCUCCCUUAAAAUAUAUAUAUAUAUAUAUAUAUAUAUAUAUAGAUACGAUAGAGAGAGAGAGAGACGAGAGAGAGAGAGAGGAGAGAGAGUGAGUGAGUGAGUGAGUGAGGCUACUAUGCUUCUAAAAGCACGGAGCUUCCGUGCUUCCAAGUUGUUUUGAGUGUGCACUUCGAAUCGUCGAUCGGCUCAGUUAAACAUCGAUUAGAGUAUUGAAGUACCUAGAAAAUAAAAUUUGCAUUUUUCGAUAUCAUUUGCCUAAGUGAACUAAGGGCUCAAAAUCAACGGCUGAAAAUAAAAUCUUACCAAAAUGUGAUACUAUGACAUUAAAAUUUUAGAUCAAGAUAUUGAUCUUGUUUUAUAUAGUAUAAAGAAUUUUCUAUCAAAUUUCACGUGUUUGAAUAUUUCUACAACCGUUAAACUUGCAAACGGCUCACCACGGCCAUUAAAAUUAUUAAUUUUGAGCCCCUUCGAUCACUAGCAAAUGAUAUCGAAAAAAUCUAAAAUUUAUUUCUAAGUACUUCAAAUACUCUAGAUCAAGUUAAUGGAGCCGAUCACGAUUCGAAUGUCCAACAUCAAAAACGACUGAAACACAGAAGGCCCGUGCUUAAAGCUCCGUGCUUCCAGAAGCAUAGUAGCCUCACUCUAUAGUAUAUAUAUAUAUAUAUAUAAUAGAAUAGAAUACUUGUAAAAGUCAACCACAAGUGAUACUUGUGUGUUUUUAGCCCUUGGAUGGAGAUGUGAGGUUGAGAUGAUGGUGGUAGGUGGAUGGUAGGUGGAAUAGUGUUUGAUCCAGGACUAUUAGUAAUCCAAAAAGUAGAUCCAAUGGCUAAAAACACACAAGUAUCACUUGGUGAUACUUGUAAAAGUAUUCUAGCCCUACUCUAUAUAUAUAAUAUAUAUAUAUAUAUAUAUAUAUAUAUAAUAUAUAUAAUUUUGAAUAUAGUAUAAUAUAUAUAUAUGCAUGCAGCUGAAAAUAUAGUAAUUACAACUACAUGUAUUCUGUUUGGUUGGAUGUACUAGAAAAUAGUGCAAUUACAAAUAAUUUGUUUGGUUGAAUGCAGUUGAGAAAUAAUUUUUAAAUUAUUAUCAUUUUAUAUAUAUGAUGGUGAGAUUAUCUCCAAUGUAAAAAGAAAUUUUUUUUUUGUUUAAAAAAUAAUUAGGGCGGUAAGCUUACCUUUUAUUUAAAGUUAUUCUCUCCAACUGUUGCAAUUAGAACUGCGAUCAAUUUGAGCAUAGUUUCAACUGUUGCAAUUGGGUCUCCUCCAACAUGCAAUUCCUACUGCAACAGUUUGAGUUAAAUAUAUCAAACUAAACAUCAAAUUUGUAUUUGUAAGUACAGUUGCACGUGUAACCAAAAGAUCACUAAUUACAUUAGCUCUACAGCAGCACAGAAGCUUAAGUAAAAGAUGUAAAAAUUAUUUCUUCAGGAAUAAUAUUUAGUAUGACCUCUAAAAGUUAAGAAUUAUUUAAUAUACUUUUUGGUAGACCAAAAUGUUGUUUGGAUUUUUAAAAAAUUUCUUAAAAUAUUACAAAAACUUAAAGGUUCUCUAAUAGAAUUAAAUUUUAUCAGGGUAUUUAGAAUAUUAAAAAAUAUAUUUAAAAAUUCUGAAUAAUAGUGGGUGAUAAAUAAAGAAAAGCUUCUCUCUUUCAGAUAGCAUGGUACCAAAGUUGGUUUACAUUAUGGGUGGCAAUCCAGCUCGCUGUUCAUCAGCCAACUCGUGUUCGAUUUGAAAUGAGCUUGAGAUCGAAUCGCUCAUUUAAUAAAUCAGCCAAAUACGAACUAAAUUUUUCAGCUCGUUUAAUAAACAAGCUGAACACAAACUGGAAUAAGCUCGCUCAUGUUCGGCUCAAUAACAACUCGAAUAUAUAUAUUUUACAUUUAUAUAUUUUAUGCUUAUAUAUAAAUAAAUCAUUAUGUAUAUAAUACAGAUUUUUAAUGUUUCAUCUUUAGUCCAAUCUAAAUAUAAAAUCCAACUCAAUUAUAAAAAAGACUCAUUUAUAUAUAAAAUUUCAACGGUUAGAUCAAAGUCUAGUGGAUGAAAUUUUAUAAAUUUAUUUUCAUACAUAUCCUUUCUAAUCCUUUUAGUUUGUUGUUCGUGAGCCAGCUCGAACAUAACCUGAAUUUUUCAGCUCGAUACUUUAAAGUUCGGCUUUUUUUUGAAAUGAAUCAAACACGAGCUACCCCAGCUACCUCGUGUUAGGCUUCUUUUCCUUCUUUUUUUUUGAAAGAUAGGUAGCAUCCUAUCCGUUUCGUUUAUUUCAUUUAGAAAUAAACUUAGCAAGAAAUGUGAAUCAAUUGGGAUUUGAACUUGAGACCUCAUGUACCAAUCAUUAAGCCUUUUGCCACUUACGCUAGGAACGGCCGGUCGUGUUAGGCUUGUUGACACCCCUAGCUUACAUCUCGCCCAGGUUUAGUGACCAAAAAGUAGAGGGACCAAAUUAUAAUAUUGCAACAAUUUAGGGACUAACCACACAGUUUAAAAAUUGUUGCAACUUCCAACCUGCCCUACCGGAUCUCAAAAUUAGGAUGUGGGUGGAUACAGGAUACCCGAAUUUUACCUGUAUGCAAACCCAAAGGAUGCUUAUUUAAUAGAGAUACUAAAUAGAUAUAAUUUUGAUUAUAAGUAUAAAAAAUAAAAGACAGGGAUUUACUUAUGGCUUCAAUCUAUACCUGAUUUGAAUCUAAAGCCGAAACCUAACCUGAAUCUGAACCAAUUCAGAACGGAUUUUAUACAAUAUAAUAUAUAGAAAUUUAAAUUUAUACUUUAAAAUUUAGUAAAACUAAAUAAUUGCUUUCGGAUUCGGAUUUUUGGAUGCGGCCUAAGGUAUCGGCUUUUUUUUUUCUUGUAAUUCAAUUUUUGUUAUGUACUUCCGAAAGGUUCGGAUUUGAAUUUCAUCUCAAAAUAGAGGCAUUAUUGUUGCCGGACAAUAUUUUAUGGAUAUAUUCUCCGAAUAAAAAUUAUUUGGGAAUUUGUCCGAAUGGACAUCAGAUGGCGAGUGGCAUCCAUCCCAACUGUCCAGUAAAAAAUAAUUUUAUUUGAAAACUAUGUUCAUAAAAUUUUUGUUAAUUAUCGCACACAAUGGUUGUAUGGAUAGAUCUCAUGUACUGUUGCUGAAAAUUACUGCAAUAGAGACCUCAUUUUAAAUUCUAAUUUAUUUAUUUGAAGCACUUUUAUGUAUCAAAAAAUUAAAAAAUUUGGACAUCAUAUUCAUAUGAAUCAAAUUCUAAAUUCUUGAUUUAUGUAAAACGCGUACCCCAAAUGAUUAAAAAAUUCAUGUCCAAAUCCUAACCCAAACCCAAAUGAUUAAAACAAUUCAUGUCCAAAUCCUAACCCAAUGUAAAAUCGAAAAUCCAAACCUGAAUCCAAAAAUUCAAGUCUGAAACAAUUAAUUCUCUUUACCAUAUAUAUUAAAAUUUAAAAUUUUAAAACACAAGUUCAAACAUAACAUCAAAUAUUUAUAUAUAUUAUAUAAUCUAAAAUUAAUUUUGACCUGAAUUCGAAUUAGAUUCCAAUUUGAGUCAAGUAGAGACAAAAUCAAUACUCAAAAUCCGUUGAGUUUUUAUUUUUUAUAUCCAUAUAGGAAAUCAAAUUCGUCUAGUAACUAAUAAAUCCACCCAGUUUAAAUUAGAGAUGAAAUUUCACAUAUCUGUAUUUAUUGACAUCGCUUGAGGCCACGGGAUGUCAUGUCUUAAUACAGCUGUUGGGUUAGUCUUAUGAAAUGGAUUUAUGCUAUGGGAACCCACAAAAGUACCCUAAAAAGUAUCACUAAGCUAAUGUGUUAGCUUAAUGUUUAGGAUAAACUACCUGAUUAAGUUAAAAAAAUCCACUCAUCAAAAAUAAACAUAUUUGGGAGUUUAUUGCAAACGAUAAACCUGGUGUCAAAUCAAUUAUCUAUUUACAUCUAUUUAUUUAUUUUUUUAAUUUUUUAAUUAUUAUUAUUUUUACACUGAGAAAUCAUUGCCUGCAUCCGGUCUAAAUUCAUUAUACCCACCAAAUUUAUUUUUAGGGUUAAUUUUAUAUAGAUCCCUACAAAUAUAAUAAAUUAUAAAUAUAUUUCUACAAAGUUCAACUUUUAUAUAUUAUUGUAAAAGUACUAAUGUUUUCAAAUAUGUCUCUCUGAUUUGUUACCGUUAAAAUACUAUCUAUUUUAUAAGUGAAAUCACCUUUUUAUCAUCACAAAUAUCUCCAUCCAAAAGUCCCAACUAUUUAAGAGCGAUAAAAAACUCAAUUCACCUCGUUAAUGUCACACUCCGGGACCCAGCGGAAGCCCACUCAGCACGUGCACAGACCCCCCAUGUAUACCAAACAACCACGAUGCACACAAGGCGUCUACUAAAAACUAGAAAUGAACAAGAUAAAGUCCUAAUAAGGCUAUCAGAGCGAGUAUAUAAAAUCACUAAUAUUCUAGUACAAAGAGAUCCACAAAUAUACAAAGUGUAACAACUAAAUCCAAGAGACUAACAAUAUCUCUAAAAUCAAAUACAUAAUACAUUUUUCUACAAGAUACAAAAAAGAAAGAUGAUAACGGGUCCAUCUAAAUAACUCCGUAGGAGCUCUAGCUAGUCGCUAACCCUUUGCCACGAUCCCCAGCCUCUCCCGCCGCGGAAGGCUCUGAAAUAAAAACCAACAACAAAUGAGGAUGAGAACUAUUAAACAAUAGUUCCGAGUAAGUAAGCUGCAAAGAAUGACGAAAUACACUACUAGGUCAACUGAGACAUGCUAUAAAGAGGUAAAUAAAUAGCAUAUAUAAAAGGUAAAUAAGUUAAACAUGUUUAAUCAUAGUCAUGCCUCUAUUACAAGUUUAACUAUCAUGUAUAUGAUGUUCUAAUCUCAUGUAAUCAACUAUAUGUCAAUGUUAAAACACAUGCAUGUUCAUUAUUUCAUAAUGCUACAUGUUAGUCAUUCAUGGCAUUGACACUCUAGUGGUAGUAUAUUUACAAUCGAUGUAGAUAUAAACAUGUUUAACUUNUCUAAUCUCAUGUAAUCAACUAUAUGUCAAUGUUAAAACACAUGCAUGUUCAUUAUUUCAUAAUGCUACAAGAAUAAUUAUACUUUCCAUUAUUAUUCUAUCCAUGAGUCCAUACAAUCAGUGUUGAUGUAAAUAUACUACCACUAGAGUGUCAAUGCCAUGAAUGACUAACAUAAGAUCCACAAUAUGCACUAUCAUGCAUGUCCACUAGUCCAACUAAUAUGCACCAUUCUAGUAGUAGUUUUCACAUUACGCUUUAGGUGUCAUUUUUCAAAUCCAAUCAAGGACCCACACUAGUAUAGUCCGGCUUGUGCCGACUAAUUACCCGUGGUAGCUCCAACAUUUUCACUCUAGAAAUGACUCGAUCCCACGCGGGCCCAGUACUUACACAAGUAUAGUCCGGCUUCUGCCGCCUAAUUGCCCGUGAUAGCUCUAACAUUCUCACUCUAGGAAUGAGUCUAUCCCACGCGGGCCCAGUAGACGUAUGUCGCAUAAGCUAACUCCGGAGUGCCGGCUUGUGAAGAGCGACCCUCACAAAUAUGUGCGAAUGAGCAUAAAUGGCAAGCAAGCAUGAUCAUCGUCUCAAAUACAUGGUCGUCAUGUCUCCAACAUGGUACAAAUUCUAACAACCCAAAAGUUUAGAUCUAUGUCAUAAUAUAAAGGUUAACUAUUUACUAAAUCGAAUGCCACUUAAUGACAUUAAUGAUCUCCAUGUUCAACGCAUGUCCUUCUUCAUGAGCAUGUAAAAUCUUGUCAUUUUACUAAAUAUAACAAGACUUCCAACAUAAUAUAAAGAUGCUAUUUCACAUGCAAAUUUACUAUACAAUUCUCUCUCUCUACUACAUAGAGACUAUAAUUGUGACACGUAACACAUAUGCCUUAAACAUUCAAACAUUUAUGAUGCAUCUCAUGCUCAUGCUUUUUUACCAAUGCCUCCACUACAUGAAGUGAUAAACUAUCAUACAAGUGAUUUCAUAUUAUAAUAUUUACAUGCACAUUUUCCUCCUGUCAUUCACCCAAGGGCGUUCGAAUCUCAUAUCACAUGUCCAACACAUGGAAUGCAACUAUCGAUGCCUAGAUCGAAUGCAAUAUCACAAUGUUAUAUACUAGUUGUUCCACUAGAUGAGAUUCAUCAAACAUAGUCUCAUGUUGACCCUAACAUGCUCUUUCAUCACAAUGUCAUAUUUGCCUUGUCUACCACAAGUAUACCUCAACAUGCAACUAAGUACCAAUUCUCCUUUAUUUUACAUGUCAAAGUCAUGAGGCGUAGCUAUCAAUCUCUAAGGCAAAUACAAUAUCAUAAUGUCAAACCCUAGUUAUUCCACUAGGUUAAAUACCACAUGCUUAAUUUCAUGUUUAGCCUUGUUAUUCACUAGGUCACAAUGUCACAUUACUUGUCUACACAAGUACUUUGCUCAUCAUGUGAGAUAAUCACUUUUCUAACUCAUUCACUAGUUACCCUCCAAGGUGUGUAUCAUCACUCAUAUUCUAACAUGCUUUCUAAGAUUGUAUAAAAGAGAGUUCAUUAUGUAGUGUCACUGUGUGCUCAAGUCCACAUAUAUGGCUCUACUACAUAGAGUAUGAAAUUUUUACUACACCUAACAUAUACAUAUUAUGUUCUCAUAAAUUCUAGCAUGUCAUAAUGAGCAUGAAAAAGUAUCUAUUUAUGUCUUAAAACCCAAAGGAAGACAUAGGGGAGUUCACCCAUUUUGAUGAGGUCAAACACACCGGAAGCACUUCGAACCCUUUCGUUCCUUCGAACGAAAUUGCCCACCGAAUUUCUAACACCCUAAGAGAAAUUCUAAAGGGUUAGAAACUCCAAAACAACUAUUUCGAAAAUCUUCGAAAAACACACACACAAUAAGGUGAAAAGAAUACCUUUGAUCAAAUUACACUUGUCCAAAGCACAAAUCGAAGCUUCCAAACUUCAAAUCCAACCUACAAGAGUGUUCUACACUCAUUAAUUCCAACUCAAAAGCUUCCAAAUAAAAAGGCCCAAACAAAAUUGUGACACCCCAAUAAUCCCACAUCGAAUGGGAAUGGAGUUGUCAUUGGAUUUAUAAGAGACUUAGACACUAGUAAUAAUAACUGGGCUUAAGUAUUUUGGGCUGUGGUUGGGCCCAACGAGUUAUUAUUGCUAGUGGGCUGGGUCGUUACAUUUGGUAUCAGAGCCGAUUCACCAGCUGGACAUGUGUGGCGAGUCUCGGCUGAGCCAGGAUCUGGAUGAUGGGCUAGCGAGAUAAAUCUCACAUCGCCUGGUGAUCUUGGGCUGUAUGUGUGAUUGGACUGACGAGGACGUCAGGGCCUUAACGGGGGGAGUCUGUGACACCCCAAUAAUCCGACAUUGGAUGGGAAUGGCGUUGUUAUUGGGUUUAUAAGAGACUUAGACACUAGUAAUAAUAACUGGGCUUAAGCAUUUUGGGCUGUGAUUGGGCCCAACGAGUUAUUAUUGCUAGUGGACUGGAUCGUUACAAAAAUCCUAGUUUCUACAAAAUUAGGUUUCAUCACAAGAAAUCCACUAAGAGGUGAAUCAAAGGGAAGAUUAAACUACUAACCUUUCUUGAAGCUCCAAACCAAGUUAGAAGUGAGCUGGAAAGGUCACCAAAAAGUAAAGAGAAGCAAAACAGGUGAUUAAUCCUCUAAAAUCCAAGCAAAAAUGGAAGGAAAUCAAAGAGGGGAUGAGAAGAGGCUCCUUACCCUUCUCUCCUCAUGUUCCAGGCUCAGGGAACACAAGAGGGAGUGUGGGGUAUUUGUAGAGUAGUAACAAUUUCAAAAACACCCCUCAAGAACAAACCGUCAGUAAUCUGCAUUGCGUACCGGUGACACAGGAUGGGGUACCGGUACCAGGCAGCAUCACACGCAAACCCGAAUCUCGGGUUGGCUAGAAAACACACUGGGUACCGAUACCAGCGCAAUACAGUACCGGUACCAGACCCAGUACCGGUACUCGGGCAAUGCAGUACCGAUACUCUACCCUACAGAGUCCAACCCGAGAACGGCCCAAAUUCUACAAUUUAGAGAUUUUGGUGCUAAGUUUUCAUUCUCGCUCCUCGGGAUGCGAGUCAUAGGUCGGAACACAGUCAACGACCAUACAGAAAAUCUAAAGAGGCUGAGAUCACCAAUCAAACACUCGAACCUUACAAUUUGCUAAAUUUCAGUGUGUUACAUUAACUAACUAGGGUUAAAUAUUUUACCUAUUGUUAACUAAUUUUUUCUAACGGGUCCUACCGGCACUGACAUAUUUGAAAAUACUAGGAAUUUUACAGAAUAACAUAUGAAAGUUGAACUUCGUAGGAAUUUAUUUGCAAUUCACUAUAUUCGUAGGGACCUCUGUAAAAUUAAUCCUUAUUUUUACAACUAAUACGAUGAAUAGGAUCUAUAUUUUAAUAUAACUAUUCAAACACUAUUUUUUUAUUUCUGAAAACAAUCUAAUUUAAUCCAAAUGUAAAAUUAAUCUUAUAUUCGUUCAUUUUUGAAGAAUUGUACCAAUAUCAGGAAUAAGCAAAAUAAUUUAUCCUGAAACAAACAAUACCCAGGUGCAAGCCAUACUUUCUCCUUCAAUUAUUAUAAAUUCUAUGGUUAGUCCCUGUACUGUACAAAUAUUGCAAGCCAACCCUUAUACUUGUUACAUACACAUAGAAUGCAAACAGGGCGGAUCUGGCGGAGGACCCCAGCCUUGCCUCCCGCCCCAACUAUCAGAGUCCUGCCUUCCGUCCAGUUCCGAAUAUGCGACAGGUUAAAAAUAUAUUUUAUAAUCCGCCUCACCUCAUAACUCACCUCCCGCCGACGUCCUGAAUCCGCUCCGCCAAUUAAUAUUUUUAAAAAAAUUAUAAUAUUAUUAAUAUUUUGUAAAAUAUAAAUUAAUAAUUUUUAAUAAUAAUAAAUAAUAUUAUUAAGUUAUAUAUAUAAUUAAUAAUAUUAAUUAUAAAAAUAAAAAAUAUCAAUCACAAUUCGAAGCAAAAUUUAAAAGCUUCAAAUAUAUGAGAAAUGAGAGCGCCAACUUAUUUGUAUUUUACACUUUUUUUAUAAAUAUAUUAUGUUUUAGAAAUAUUUUUUAAAAAUAUAUACGAUUUUCGGAGUAAAUCAUGACAGAGCGGAUUCAGAGCAAGUCAAAAUUUUUUCGUUUACUGUCCCGAAUCCGUCUCGAAUUAUAAAAAUUAUUCUAUUUUUUAGUCGGAAUUCGUUUUUUUUUUUUUUUAUUUACUACUUUACUCAGAACGGACCGGAGCGGAAACUCCGCCAACCCUCAACCCUAAUCCAUUGGCAUCCCUACUUACACGUCCUUGGAUCAAACUUUAGGGCACACUUUACAAUUUAAUUAAAUUUAAUAAUAUUUUUUAAAUAAAAUUAUGUAUACAUCAAAUCAAUAUAUUUGAUGUGACAAUUGACAGCUGAGACAACAUAGCAUUAAACUCUAUACUAAAGUUGAAACUAAAUGUCGUUUCCCAUCGAGCCACAUGGUGGAUUUUCUCUCUCCCUCACAUGUUCUCUCUCCUUCACAUGGACCCACAUGGGCUAUAUUCAAGUGACAUGCAUGGACUCACAUGGGCUAUGAGUAGAAAGAGUUGGGGGGAAGAUGCAUGCAUUGUAAUAAUAAGAAAGAUAGCAAAAGUACAAAAAAUAUUAUAUGUACUAUGCAAUUUUUUGUUUUAUGAAUGAUGUUAAAUAAUAUUGCUAUAUAUAAAGUUAAGAAAAAAAGCAAGAGGGCAAGGAAUAUGCUGUGUAGUAUGAAAAAUUUUGUAAGAGAAAAGUUUAUGUUGUGCGUGAGAUACUAUUUUUAUUGGAGUUAGCAAAGUAAAAACAAUUUACAAAUAAUUCAUAGUGUAAUUGGAAUCAAAAUAGGAGAUUUAGAAUAACCAUAUUGCAAAGGAAUUUAACAGUGCGGCCACUUCUGAAAAUCAACUUAUUAUACCUAUUAAAAAUAGUGCUCAAGUGGAAAAUACUAUUGGCGAAUAUAAUCCUACCGAAAGCCAAUCAAGGUAUGAUUAAUAAACAAGUUAAGAACUGAUUAUAAAUUAAUGUUCUGUCUGUGGGAAAAAAAAUCUAAUAAUUAAUGUUCUGUCUGUUCAAAAAAAAUAAAAUUAUUGACUUGCAGUAUUUUGUCAAGCAACGAUAGUGAUUUGCCUAUUGAAACAUCUGCUGUAGCAAAAAAAUUACGUUUGUAAGUAUUAAUAUUUUUAAAAUAUUAUUUGUAUUUUUUAUUCCACCAUAUAUAUAUGUAUAUAUAUAUAUAUAUAUAUAUGUAUAUAUAUAUAUAUAUAUAUACGUAAUAUAUAUAUUAUAUAUAUAUAGAUAUAUAUAUAUAUAAUAUAUAUAAUACGUAUAAUAUAUAUAUAUAGUAUAUAAUAUAAUAUUAUUUAUAUAUAUAGAGCGAGGCUACCUAUACUAUCGGAAGCACGGAGCCUUCAUGCUUCGAGCUCGUUUUCGAUGUUGCGACUUUCGAAUCGUCGAUCGCUCGUUAAACUUGAUCUAGAGUAUUGGAGUACCUAGAAAAUAAAUUUUAUUAUUUUCGAUAUCAUUUGACUAAUGAUCGAAUGGGCUCAAAAUCAAUAAAUUUUAAUGGCCGUAGUGAGCCGUUUGCAAGUUUAACAGGUGUAGAAAUAUCCAAAUCACGUAAAAUUUGAUAGAAAAUUAUUUAUACAUAAUAAAACAAGAUCAAUAUCUUUGAUUUAAAAUUUAAUGUAUAUUAUUACAUUUUGUAAGAUUUUUAUUUUCAGCCGUUGAUUUUGAGCCCCUUCGUUCACAUAGGCAAAUGAUAUCGUAAAAUUAUAAAAUUAUUUUCUAGGUACUUCAAAUACUCUAGAUCAAGUUUAACGGAGCCGAUCGACGAUUCGAAAGUCGCAACAUCGAAAACGAGCUGGAAGCACGGAAGGCUCCGUGCUUCUAUAGCAUAGUAGCCUCACCUAUAUAUAUAUAUAUAUAUAUAUAUAUAUAUAUAUUAUAUAUUAUAUAUAUAUAUAAUAUAUAUAUAUAUAUAUUGUUCAUACUUAGCAGUUCGAAGACUGGAGAAGGACCAAGCAAAGUUAACACCCGCAAGAAAUCAAGUGGAACCGAUAGGCCAUAAUGAUCUAAGAACUGUUUUAUCAAUUAUAUUUGCAUUAUCAAAAACAUUAUAUCAUAUUAGAUAAUCUAUAGUAUAUAUUUAGUUAUCUUACAUAAUGUGAAUGUUAUAUAUAUCUGUAAUUUCGUAAUAAAUAAAUAUAAUUACAGUCAUAUUAUUAGCUCUCAAUAUUACGACCUCCGCCGCGAAAUGCGGGUCAUUACACUAGUUUAAUAUAUAAAAUAAAAAGUAUCACACUUGCGACAAUGUGAAAUACAUUUAUUAUAUAAAUGAACAUCAUAUGAAGGGCAUUAUUCCUAGGAUCUAGUAAAUAAAUUAAAAAAAUUAAUAAGAUAAUUGAUAUUUGAUUUGUGAUGAUAAUUCAGUAUUUUAUAAGUAAAGGAUAUCAUACCUAUGUCAAUUUUUUUUAGUUUUCUUAAAAGAGAGAAAUAAUUAGCUACUUGCUUUUCUCUCUCUAUUUUUUUUUAUUUUAUAAAUGAAACUCCAUGAAAAAUAUAAAAUAAUAAAAUUUCGAGCUUGAAAACUCGAAUACCAAUUACUAAGUCAUUGUAAAUAAAUUUAACAUACCAUUUGAUAAUUAUUUUAAGGUGAUAACUUAUUAUUUAAUAGAUAAGGUAUGCCAUAUAUAUAUGCCAAAUCAUUAUUAAUACGAUAAUAGUUUUUUGCAUUCUUUUAAUUCCUUUUUUAUAUUAUAUUUUAUUUUAUGAAAUUAAUAAUAACAUUUUUAUUGAUGAUAUAGAAAAUUUUAAAUGAUAAUUGAAAACGGACAUGACUGACAAUGCAAAUAUAUUUCAAAACCAUUUAUUUUUAUUUGUUUAAUUUUAAAUAUGUGGUAUACAAAACCAAAUCAAAAUAAUAGAUCAUUUUUAUAUUCAUUUUUAUCUUAUUGAAAUUAUGGUAUAAUUUAAGCACACCGUUCUUUUUUUAUUUAUAUUCUAUAUUAUUUAAUUAAUAAUAUAUUUUUGGGCUUUUUUUUGUAUUUGGCCCCUUUAAAAAAAAAAUUUUACAAAUAGUCCCAUCAAAUUUAUAAUUACAAAUUUAGCCCUAUUUUCGCCACGCAGGUAUCACAUCAGCACUACGUAAGCUAGAGGGGUGCUAAGUUGAACACGGUAAAUCAUUCACAAUGUUCAAAUGCGGUGAAUGAUUCACCGUGUUCCACACUUAUAUUCCCGUGUUUAAAUACGGUGAAUAGUUACCGUAUUCGUAUUUAUAUUUUUCUUAUUUUUUUAGCAAUAUAUAUAUUUGUAUUUUCUCCAAACACAAUAAACCAUUCACCGUAUUCAACUUAACAAACUGGCCCCAGCCGCGCUCACGUGGUGCUGAUAUGCUGCCUGCAUGGCAGGAUUAAUUAGGGCCACUUUUGUAAAUAUAAAUUUGCCGAGACUAUUUUUAAAAUAAAUUUUUUUCAAGAGGCUAAAUGCAAAAAAAAACCCUAUAUUCUUCAUAUUAUUUAAUUACACUCAAAAUUUAACAUAUUCUAUAUAUUACAAAAUAAAGAUUUUUUUUAGACAAAUUUCACGCAUAAGGUUAGAGAUCCAUAAACUUAAAUUUGUAUAUAGUAAAUUCGAUCAUGACGUAUGAUGUUGAAAGCCUGCCGAAUUUUGAACUCGGCAAGUUAUGUUACAUUACCCAACAAAUUUUUCUAACCUAUAAUUUAACAUAUUUUUUAAUAAAAUUUUAUUUUUUUUUAUAUAUAUUAUUAUUUUAUUAUAUAACGCUACAACAGAAUUAGAUUAUAGGGGCACAUGUUUAGGACACUUUUGUGUAAGUGUCUCAUUUAUGCAAAAAUUUUAAAAAAAAAUCUACUAAUGCCUAAAUAUAAAGUCCAAUCCAACAAAAAUAAAAAGUUACUCUACUCAACCCACCCCACCUAGCCCAUUCGGCCCAAUUACAAAUAGAAAAGAAAAAGAAAAGAAAAAUUGAUUACGAUUUUUCCUUCUCCCCUCAUUCAAUCGAUUGAAAUUCUAUAUGAAGAUCCAUUCCUCUCGCCCUCCUCCGCCACCGCAGCCAACGAGAUAGAGUUCCAACGGUUGCUAAAUAUUUAAAUAAAUGUUGGUAAAUUAACAGCAUUUUUUUUAGAUUAUAGCGACACUCUUUAACUGUCACUAUAUACCUAACGACCCCACAUAUAGCAACACUUUUUAAAAGUGUCGGUAAUUUAGCCAGCAAUAUUUUUUUUGACCUGUACCGAUAUUUAAAAAUGUCGCUAUAGACCGUUUUUGUUGUAGUGUAAUAAUAUGUAUAGAUAUAAUUUUCAGCAAAGGGUGGGUUUUGCACUACUGUGAUAUUUAAGCUAGGGUUUAUCCAUUGCUUGUGUUGGACCCAAGUUCACAUCAUAUCAAUGUUAUGAAAUAUCUAAUAUUAAAAUUCAAACAAAUCCAAAAGAUUAAUGCUAAAAAUAUGGACUCACUGCCAUCUAUAUAGAUAUCUUCUCGUUUUAUUCGGGAUUCUUUUUUUUCCAAAUAAAUUUUUAACUAUCUCCUCAUUUUCCAAAAUUAAAUCAUGUGGCUCCCAUAUAUCUGAUUCUAUUUUUCCACACUAAGCAGUUUUUUUCCUCCUUAAAACCAAUUAUGAGUAUUACAUCAAAGUCUAACACAUAUCCUUUAAACUCUUUAUAAGCCAACGAAACUUACUUAUCUGAGUCUAUAUAUGGGAGCCACAUGAUCCCCCUUCUCGCCCGCUCUGCCACCGACCGCAGCCAGUUGCAGACGAGGCCCAAGACAAGGCCCAACGGUCCUUCUUCCCCUGCUUCGGAGGCAUUCUUUCUCUUAGGGACAGCCCAGAGCCCAGCUUUGCUCAAGUCGGCUUUGCUCAAGGCGGACCCCCCCUUGGGACGGGUAACCCUUCUCGCCCGCUCCCCACGGGGGACUUCUUUGAGCCGGUCCUGCUUGGUGAUGGAGACGGCCGAGGUCUUUCUGUUGGGAACCCCGAUCUCUACGCCACUCGAGGCUCUCCUGGUGCUGCUGCUGCGAUGGGUUCUUGUGCCGGAGCUCCCCUCGAGAUGGGCCUCCUUCUUCGCACCGGCCGUUCCCGUGCUCUUGCGGAAUCUCUUUCUGCCCCGAUCCCGCCGGAAGGAGGUGACGGGGAGGAGGCCGGUGGGGCUGGGUAUCUUCCGAGCGUCAGGAGAGGAGCGACUAGGUCUAGUCCACGCGUGCGGGAUCCAGCCAACAUUUCGGCUCUUGAACGGGCGAAGCGUAGGAAAGCGAUCCUGCGGGAAGGUGUCAUCUCUAGCUCGGCGAAACUAGCUCGCAAAUGGAGCUCAAAAACGGUGCUGUCGAAGGGUGCCCGCUGCGGAGUGAAGCUCUCGGAGGUUGACGCGGAGGAGCUCCACAAGUUUAUGUUGAGCGGAUAAUUAGCUGAGGGGCGGGUUACUAUGUGGUUUUAUAUUUUGGGGUGUCGCUGUGUCUGAUGUUUAAUAUUAUCUCUUGGAAUGUUCGUAGUCUGAACGACCCGGUCAAGCGUCGUGCGGUUAAGACUGUCGUGUCUAAGCACUUUUGUUCCGUAGUUUGUUUUCAAGAAUCAAAAGUAGAUUCGGUAUCUAGAUCGUUUCUCCGCUCUUUCUGUGGCUCAAAAUUCGAUAGAUGUCAGUUUAUCCCUACUUGUGGGGCGUCGGGCGGUUUAAUCACUGCGUGGAAUUCUAAAUCUUUUUUAUGUUGGGAGGUUUUGGUGCGUGAACGCUCGCUCACCCUUAAUUUGAAGCAUGUUGCCAGCGGAAUGAUUUUUUUCCUUUCAAACGUCUAUGGGCCACCAACUUGGGACGGGAAGGAAGAGUUCUGUUCUGAACUUAUUUCACUGAGAGACUUUUGCUCCAAUAACAGAUGUCCUUAUUCUCAGAUCUCAUUUCAAACCUCGAGGUCAUUGAUCUACCCAUAUCCAACCAAUGUUUCACCUGGUCUAACAUGCAAAGCGCACCUUCCCUGGCCAAGCUGGACAGAUUUCUAGUGUCGACUGAAUGGGACCAAACUUUCCCUCAUGGCAGGGUCUCAGCACUGCCGAGGAUUACCUCGGAUCAUACCCCGAUAGUGCUGACUACUAGGGCCAGCCCGAAGCCGGGGAGAUUUCGGUUCGAGAAGGUCAAGCUCACUAAAGAGGAUUUCUCUGUUAGGGUACCGGUCUGGUAGAAUGAAAUCACCAGCAAGAGGUCGGCCAUCCUCACUCUUACGGCAAAACUCAGACACUGCAGGGUCAGAAUGAAAGAGUGGUGUAAGACGGAGUUCUACAGCAUUUCCAACGCUAUAAAGUAUAUUCAAGACGAUAUCCGUAGCAUCGACUUGAUUGAGGAACAGUCCUCCCUGUCACAGGAGCUUCGGGAUAAAAGGGUAAACCUUAAGGCUCAGCUUCAUCUCAUCCUUCAAGAAGAAGAAAUUCUAUGGAGAACGAGAGCGAAACAGCAUUGGCUUAAGGAGGGUGACAAGAACACUAAAUUUUUUCACGCGGUGGCCAAUGGUCGAAAACGAAGCAAUGCGAUAGAGUUUAUCGAAGAUGAUUCUGGCAAACCUAUCCACAACGACGUCCUAAAAAGAAACUAUUUAUUCCACGCCUUCUCACGCCUUUUCGGGCAAGAGGAAACAGGUCCUUCAACUGGCGGAGAUUGGAGUGAUCUGUACCGGGAGAAGUCUCUAACUGACCCGGACUCCCUUACUAGCCCUUUUACUAUGGAAGAAAUUAAGAAAGCUACCUUUCAGCUAGGUGGUGAGAAGGCACCUGGACCGGAUAGUUUUUCUCUAAUCUUCUUUCAACAUUUCUGGGAAACAGUUAAGGAUAACAUCUUCGAUUUAUUCAUAGAUCUCCAGGAAAACAAACUUUUCACGGCCCUGACGGACUACUCAUAUGUGUGUCUCAUCCCUAAAAGGGAAGGAGCUAGUAAGGUGAAUGACUUCCGACCGAUAUGCCUCAUUAAUGGGAUACAGAAGAUUAUCUCUAAAGUUUUGGCAAACAGACUCGCGUUCAUUUUACCGUCCAUCAUAUCGCCUGCACAAUCAGCUUUUUUGAAGGAUCGACUCCUAGCGGACUCGUUUGUUACGGCGAGUGAACUCCUAAAUUGGUGUGCAAAAUCAGAGAAGGAGUGCGUUUGCAUUAAGGUGGAUUUUGAGAAGGCUUACGACAAUGUCAGAUGGACCUUCCUGAAAAGCGUAAUGCGAUGGAUUGGAUUCAGCGAUAAAUGGUGGUACUGGAUAGAGCAAUGUAUAUGCAACGCUAAAAUCGCAGUUCUUGUAAAGGACUCGCCGACAGCUUGGCUGAAAGCAAGGAAGGGGCUUAGACAAGGAGACCCGCUAUCCCCCUACCUAUUCAUCUUGGUGGCCGACUGCCUCGCCAGGAUCACGGAGACAGCGAGGAACAACAACAUGUUCCAAGGUAUUGGUCCAACAAUGGAUUGUCAAACUGUAAUCCUCCAAUACGCGGAUGACACUUUAUUUUUUGCUGAACCUAAAAAGGCCGCUAUGCGUAGUUUGCUUUUUAUUUGGAAAAUGUUCGAGUGGGCAUCAGGCCUUAAGAUAAAUAUGAUUAAGACGGAACUUUACUAUCUAGGCCACAAUGCUAGCAAGGCCUGUGGACUAGCAGAUAUUUUGGGUUGUAAAGUUGGCAACCUGCCAUUUCGUUACUUGGGAUUGCCGUUACACAUCAAACCCCUCCGAAGAUUAGAUUGGACGCCGAUCGUUAACCGUAUUGAGGCGCGCAUUGAAGGGUGGAAGGCUAAAACUCCUCUCACACGGGGGUAGACUCACCUUGGUCAACUCGGUGCUCUCGAAUAUACCUUUUUUCUUCUUCGCUAUCUUCAAAGCACCGCAGUGGGUCCUGAACCGGAUAGAGGCCCUGAGAAGAGCUUUCUUUUGGAAAGGGUGCGCCAAGAUUUCAGGGGGGUCAUGCCUAAUUGCCUGGAAAUCAAUUUGUAAAAGCAAAAAAGAAGGGGGACUGGGGAUCCUAGAUAUGGAAGCUAUGAAUAUAGCUUUAUUAACUAAAUGGUGGUGGCGUUUCUUCAAAGAUCCACAGCUGCAAUGGGGAAGGUUGGUAAGAGCGCUAUAUUACACCAGAAGAAGGCCGUUACUGGAGGGAAAAGGGUUCAGACCUCACUCUCAGUGGUGGAGAAGCGUAAUGACAUGUCGACAGAUAUUUCGUCGCAGCGUAUCGUACACGCUCGGCAAUGGAAAUUUUUGUAGGUUAUGGACUGACAUUUGGAUCGAAGAAACCCCCCUGUGUACUCGGUUUCCACGAAUUUACUCCAAGGUGGUUAACAAUGGGGCUACGGUCUCACAAUGCUGGAAUAGAAUAGGGUGGAGAUGGCAGUUCAUACUCAGAGGCAUUACUAUGAACGUCGACAGUGUGUCUAGACAACAGAUCAUGGCUUUCAAAAUCCUUUUGCAGCGAUAUUGCCUGACGGACUCACCGGAUAUAUUAUGGUGGCGAUGGACGUCUAACCGAUUAUUCACAGUCAAAUCUCUCUACGAAUUCUUUACUGACGCUGGCCAGAGACAACCAACCAACGACAAGCUGUGGAGUCUAAAACUCUCAACCAAAAUCAAAAUAUUCAUCUGGAUCCUACUACGCAAGAGAUUACUUACCGCUGAUAGACUGAUACGCAGAGGGUGCCCGGUGAACGAGUACUGCAUUUUCUGCUCAUUCUCACCUGAGAACUGCGAUCACCUUUUCAAGGAUUGUGUUUUUGUUAGAUACCUCCAAAUUAGCGUCGAUGGAUUGGGUGUCAGCGAUUUAAGAAUAGGGGAUGUUAAGCAACUUUGGACCGACACUGUGGAUUCCUCUAAUGCUGAACAGAGAUCGUUAAGGCUCACACGGUUGGCGGCAAUCUGGUGGGUAGUUUGGACGGAGCGCAACAAGAUCGUCUUCAACGAGGACGCUCCGGACGCUAACCGUGCAAUUGGGCGGAUAGUUGCGCUAACGAAGACUUGGACCGAGGCGAUUGUCCCGUAACCACUCUUUAUUAUCUCGAGUCGGGCUUUUGUUUACCUAUCUAUACUGCUUUUUAUUGUUCUUUUGUUGUUGUUUACUUAUCUGUACUGCUUUUUAUUAUUUUUUUGUUGUUUUUCCGAUUUCGGUAGGGGGCCUUAGCUGUCUCCAUUAUGUACGCUAAAUUCAUUUCGCUUAAUGAAUGAAGCAGGUAGCUCGCUACCUUGUUCUCAGAAGAAAAAAAAAAAAAAAAACUCUUUUAUGAGCAAGUGGUUGGUAUCCGAGACCCAAAUUUGAAUCCUAGUUGAUUCACAUUUCUAGCAAGUUUAUUUCUAAAUGAAAUAAACGAAGCGGGUAGCGUGUUACUUUUUUUUUUUUCAAAAAAAAAACUCUUUUAUGAGUACACCAUAUUACUAUUGUGCCACAUUAUUAUAACUCCUCUAUAAUAGUCUCUUAUAUAUAUAUUUAUUUACAAGAGUUACUAAAGCAUCUCAAUAUAUAUCUCCACACUUUGGAUUUUUUUUGUGAUUUUGUUGGUAGGUGUCCGGUUUUAGAAAAAAAUACCAAUUACAAGUCUAACUUACUUUUUGCAAAAGCAUGAUAUAAUUACGGGAAACUUGCACGUUCAGUCCUCAAAAUAUGAGAUGGGUGACACUUUAUUAAUUGUAGCAAUUUUGGCUCCAGCUUUCAGAAUUACUGGAGUUAAGUUCCAAAAUCCAAUUCGGUUGAUUAUAUAUUGACGCAUUGCUAAAAGUGAUAUAAAAUCUUCUUCUUUUUUUUUUUUUUUUGAGAAAGACAUCUCGUUGAUCUCUUCAUUCAAAUGAAAAAUGAACUUAGCUACAUAGUUAUGACAACCAGGCCUCUUUUUUUAAAAAAAGAAAAAGAAAAAAAAAAAACUAUCUAUACUGUUCAACCCAAAGCAAUACCAAGCCUUGGAUGUUGGAUAGCACAAUGUUGAUAAUUCUUGUUUGUAUCUAUGAAAAUUACAAUGUUCCACUCUAACCAAUCUAACCAAUUACAGAUCACUAAAUUACUACAAGUGACGUCAUCCCUCCUCUUUCUACAUUAAUAAUUGGUCCCCACACUUAGACGACAUCCUCCUGUCCCACAUGUCUCUAACCUCUCUCCUAUCUUGUCUUGUAAUUAAACAUCCUGCCAUUUGCUGACGUGGUAAUUAAAAAGAACAUGUGUAGAUGCACUUGAUGAAUAGGUGACCUAAAUGGCUAGCUUCUAAAUCAUAAUCACAUAUAUAGUACAUAUGUAUAGAGUAGGGUUGUAUCCUCGAUCGAACACCCUCUUUUAUUUUCGAGAUCAUCUGCAUGUUGUGGGAGUUCUUUUCCUAAUUAAGAACCAUUCACACUGCUCAGUGGCAGAGCAUUCAUUGGCCGCAUCUUCUUUGAUUGUUAGUCUAUUUGGUCAACUAAAUUAAAUUGCAGGACUUGAUUGAAAUAAGUUAAAGUUUGAAUACUGUAUUUGUCCAACAAAAAAAAUUAGAGUUGCUGAUGAGAAAGAAAGUGGGUUUCGGGGGUGGAGUGGGUGCAUGGUCUCCUGGAAUCAAUAUCUGCAGGUGGGCUAACCCUAGAUGUAGAGGUGGGAUGGAAGUCGAUCUGUGAUGCAAGGUUUGAUGUUAAUUGAGAAUUUAGGGUUUAGAGUUUAGAAUCGAUUGGUUUUAGCCAAUUAAUUAGCACAUAUCACUCAUCAAUUAAUGCAUUAAGUUAUUGCUUCAUGUGAAAAUUAUUUUUCACAUAUGAAUAUAUAUAUAUAUAUAUAUAUACCUAAUUUGGCUAGCCAUUUGGAAACAAUUUUAUAAUUUAAAUGAACCGCUCAUGUCCGAAAUUCUUUAAAUUUUGUUUCACUAGAUAAGUGAAAAUAUAGAAGAAAAAAAAAACUUCAUCUCCGCUUUUAAUAACUGAUCAAUAUGAUCACGUACGUAAGUUUGUAUUAGAUUUGCAUUUACGUAAAACAAGCACGUUCAUUUAAGAAUAAUUUAGACUUAAUGCAACCAUGGCCUUUAUUUAGUCGCACUAAUCAAUUGUGAGGAAAUUAUUAAUUGUUACUGUACUAGAAAUAGCCACGUUAAUUUAUGGAGUACACGUGGAACCCAGUAUUUAUUAACUCUUAUCUUCUAAGUUAUCCUCUCAUAAUCCUCAGUAGUGCACUAACACGAUUGCCAUUAAUCUUCAUGUCACUUUAGCUUGUUAAAGAAGCACUUAUUUGUAGCUUAAUUCACCUCAAUAAUUAACAUCUCAAACACAUCCGCAAACACCAUGCCACUCCCAGUACCCAACCAAGAAGAGAACAACACUGCAACACCACCAACAUGGGCUUCGCAAACCAAACAAGCGAUAAUUUCCGAGCUCCGAAAGCAGCGGUCCGUCGCCGCGCCGCUGAUCCCGAUGAACUCGACGUGGUUCGCGCGGACGGCAAUCACCACCGCCUUCCUCGGCCGCCUCGGGGAGCUCCCCCUCGCUGCGGGGACCCUCGGGUUCACCUUCGCGAACGUCACGGGCUUCUCCGUCCUCUCGGGCCUUUGCUGGGCCAUGGAGCCCAUUUGUGGCCAAGCCCAUGGGGCCCACAACAAAACUCUCCUCAACAAGACCCUAUUCAUGACAAUUAUCCUCCUACUAGCUGCUUCUCUCCCUAUAUCCUUUCUCUGGCUCUAUGUAGAUAGAAUACUAGCACUCUUUGGCCAACAAAAAGAAAUUGUCACCCUAGCUAAACACUAUGUACUGUUCCUUCUCCCUGACCUUAUAAUCAAUUCAUUUCUUUCUCCUUUUAAAGCUUAUUUAAGCUCACAAGGUGUUACACUCCCCAUAAUGUUGAGCUCGGCUAUUGCACUAUCUUUGCACGUCCCGUUCAACAUCUUUUUGUCGAAAACUAAGGGGCUCGAGGGGAUCUCCAUGGCUAUCGGGCUAACCGAUCUCGUCGCGACGACAACUUUAGGGAUAUAUAUCUUUGUAACGAAUGCGGGAAUCGAGAAAGGAGAUGGCGGAGAAGCAGAAGUGCUUAAAGAGCCAUGGUGGCGCAUUCGGAAGGCGAGCGAGUGGGCGCGACUUUUGAAGCUCGGCGCACAAUGUUGUGCCACGUGCUGCCUCGAGUGGUGGUGCUACGAGAUCCUAACCCUAACCGCCGGGCGGCUGCCCAGCGCACGGCAGAGCGUGUCGGUGCUAGCGAUCGUGCUGAACUUUGACUACCUGCUGUACGGAGUGAUGGUCUCGCUCGCAACUUGCGUAUCCACCCGCGUGUCCAACGAACUGGGCGCGGGACGUCACGGGCCGGCCCGAGAGGCCGGUUACGUGUCUCUGGGCUUGGGUAUCUUAUCGGGCCUCUUAGGCGGGUCGGCGAUGGUGGGCUUUCGCGGAAAUUGGGGCCCGUUGUUUACCCAUGAGAAGGUUAUUAUUGAAGGUGUGAAGAAGAUGUUAAUGUUGAUGGCUAUUGUGGAGGUGUUUAAUUUCCCUAUAGCAGUGUGUGGGGGGAUGGUUAGGGGUACGCAUAGGCCAUGGCUGGGCAUGUGCAGUGUGGUAGGGUAUUAUUUGGUGGGCCUACCAUUGGGCAUCAUAUUGGGCUUUAAAUUUGGGCUUGGGCUUAGUGGGCUCUUAAUGGGCUUUGUGGUGGGGAGUUUUUGUAGUGCUAUUGUAUUGGGUGUAGUGGUUGCACAUGUUGAUUGGGAAGAUGAAGCUAGUAUAGCCAAAGAGUUGGCUUGUGAUAGGAGAGAGAGUGGAAGUGUUAGUGAGGAGAUAAAUGAAGGAUGAGAAAUUUAUUUAUGCUGCAUUUUUCAAAAAAAUUUCGAUCUUCUUUUUAUUGGAAAAUGGAUGUAAUUUUCAUAUGUUAUAUAUAGUAUGUUUGUUUCUUCUUUUUAGUUUGAUUAUUCUAUGUAUCUUGUGGUAAGAGAGGUAUAAGAAAUGAUUAUACAUGCUAAUGUAUUUGAAAGGGAAUGUUAGAUUUAGCGGGUGUCUGUUUGACAAAGCUUUUGUUGGGAGAAAAAAAAAAAUAAAAAAGAGAAUGUCAUCUAAAACUAAAAAUUUCUGCAAACUUUUGUUAAUGUGAACUACUGAUGUUGAAAUGCUAAACUCAACGCCAAAGCGGUGACGGUUCUCAUCAUCAUUUGUUUUUCCACAAGGAUCUGUCGUUGGCAAAGUUUAUUGGCAAAGUUAGCAAAGUGCUACAUUAUUCUAUGGUUUGCAUUUAACCACCAAAUUGUGAAGCAAUAUUGUACUUUACCACCUUUCUUAUGCAAGCUUUUAUGGAAAAUUAAAACAUGACCCGUGGAACGACAAAGUGUUGAUUUUGGACUACAACAUAUUAUAUAUAGAGAGAGAGAGCGUCCGGCUGCUAUGCUAUCAAUAGCACCAAGCAUUUGGUACUAUCAAAUUUUCUGCCGUUAGAUUAACCCCUUUAAUUAUUUUUACCCGUUAGAUCAUACUAUUCAACUAACCACCCACUCAACCCUAGGGAGCCCACAUUAUCCUAACCGCACAUCUCUUAAUCCAAUCGCCAAAAACUUGGUAGCAUCAAUGACUUGGUGCUAUUAAUAGUAUAUUACCCUAGUUAUAUAUAUAUAUAUAUAUAUAGAGUUCGGCUACUAUGCUAUUAAUAGCACGAAGCAUUUGGUGCUACCAAGUUUUUCGCCGUUAGAUCUAUCCUUUCGAUCAUUUUCACCCGUUAGAUUAUACUAUUCAAUCAACCACCCACUCAACCCUAGGGGACCGACAUCAUCCUAACCGCACAUCACUUAAUCCAAUGGCCAAAAACUUGGUAGCACUAAUGACUUGGUGCUAUUAAUAGAAUAUUAGCCUAGUUCUAUAUAUAUAUAUAUAUAGAUAUAUAUAUAUAUACUAUUAAUAGUAUAUAUAUAUAUAAGCACAGCAAUACAACAAGUAAACUAAUUACCUGGUGCACAGCAAUACAACAAGUAAACUAAUUACCUGGUGCACAGCAAUACAACAAGUAAACUAAUUACCUGGUGCACAGCAAUACAACAAGUAAACUAAUUACCUGGUGCACAGCAAUACAACAAGUAAACUAAUUACCUGGUGCACAGCAAUACAACAAGUAAACUAAUUACCUGGUGCACAGCAAUACAACAAGUAAACUAAUUACCUGGUGCACAGCAAUACAACAAGUAAACUAAUUACCUGGUGCACAGCAAUACAACAAGUAAACUAAUUACCUGGUGCACAGCAAUACAACAAGUAAACUAAUUACCUGGUGCACAGCAAUACAACAAGUAAACUAAUUACCUGGUGCACAGCAAUACAACAAGUAAACUAAUUACCUGGUGCACAGCAAUACAACAAGUAAACUAAUUACCUGGUGCACAGCAAUACAACAAGUAAACUAAUUACCUGGUGCACAGCAAUACAACAAGUAAACUAAUUACCUGGUGCACAGCAAUACAACAAGUAAACUAAUUACCUGGUGCACAGCAAUACAACAAGUAAACUAAUUACCUGGUGCACAGCAAUACAACAAGUAAACUAAUUACCUGGUGCACAGCAAUACAACAAGUAAACUAAUUACCUGGUGCACAGCAAUACAACAAGUAAACUAAUUACCUGGUGCACAGCAAUACAACAAGUAAACUAAUUACCUGGUGCACAGCAAUACAACAAGUAAACUAAUUACCUGGUGCACAGCAAUACAACAAGUAAACUAAUUACCUGGUGCACAGCAAUACAACAAGUAAACUAAUUACCUGGUGCACAGCAAUACAACAAGUAAACUAAUUACCUGGUGCACAGCAAUACAACAAGUAAACUAAUUACCUGGUGCACAGCAAUACAACAAGUAAACUAAUUACCUGGUGCACAGCAAUACAACAAGUAAACUAAUUACCUGGUGCACAGCAAUACAACAAGUAAACUAAUUACCUGGUGCACAGCAAUACAACAAGUAAACUAAUUACCUGGUGCACAGCAAUACAACAAGUAAACUAAUUACCUGGUGCACAGCAAUACAACAAGUAAACUAAUUACCUGGUGCACAGCAAUACAACAAGUAAACUAAUUACCUGGUGCACAGCAAUACAACAAGUAAACUAAUUACCUGGUGCACAGCAAUACAACAAGUAAACUAAUUACCUGGUGCACAGCAAUACAACAAGUAAACUAAUUACCUGGUGCACAGCAAUACAACAAGUAAACUAAUUACCUGGUGCACAGCAAUACAACAAGUAAACUAAUUACCUGGUGCACAGCAAUACAACAAGUAAACUAAUUACCUGGUGGUCGAUCGAUGAUCGAUUGUGAAAUCUCGACCGGUACUAGUUUUCUUUGACCAGAUUAAUUAGGCUCUUGCCGAUACAUGAUCUAUCAAGCUUCUUGCUCUUAUAUGUUUCACGUGGCCCCAUCUACAUGAUUAGCAAUUAACGUAGUUGUUGGUGUAACGCCCCCAAUAGUACUGAUUCCGAUCAAUUUAUAUGAGACCUAUACGCUAGUAAUAAUAAUCCGACUUAAGCAUUUUGGGCCGAUGGUUUGAGCCUAACGAGUUAUUGUUGCUAGCGGGGCUGAUCGUUGCAAUUGGUAUCAGAGGCGAAUACCAGCCGGAAAUGUGAGAGCUGAGUGCUAUGCGGGACAAAGUACUACACCAACGGGUUUGGUCGGAGUCACCUCUUGAACCCGUAGGAGCCAUCUCUAGAAUCUCACAUAGCUUCGUAAUUCUGGUCCUGGUUUGUUUGCCUGUGAUCUGGUUUGGACCCGACGAGAACGUCAGGAUCUAAAUAGGGAGAGUUUAUAAUGCCCCAAUAGUCCCACGUCGGAUGAGAUACUGAUUUUGAUCGCGUGACUCUCUUUAUAUAUCUUUGCUAGGUGCUUCUUUUUUUUCCUUUUUUUUUAUUUUGUGUGUGUGUGUGUGUGUGUGUUUUGUUUGUGAUGAGAUACUGAUUUUGAUCGCGUGACUCUCUUUAUAUAUCUUUGCUAGGUGCUUCUUUUUUUUCCUUUUUUUUUAUUUUGUGUGUGUGUGUGUGUGUGUGUUUUGUUUGUGAUGAGAUACUGAUUUCGAUCAGUUUAUAUGAAGCCUAUGCGUUAGUAAUAAUAACUAAAUUUAAGCAUUUUGGGCCGGUGGUUGGGCCCAACGAGUUAUUAUUGUUAGCGGGUCAGGUCGUUGCAAUUGGUAUCAGAGCCGAAUACCAGCCGGACAAAGUGCUAUACCAACGGGUUUGGUGAGAGCCACCUCUUGAACCUGUAGGAGCCACCUCUAGAAUCUCACAUCGCCUGGUAAUGGUUCUGAUUUGUAACGCCCCUAAUAGUCUCACAUCGGAUAGGAUACUGAUUCUGAUCAGUUUAUAUGAGACAUACACGCUAGUAAUAAUAACCCGGCUUAAGCACAAACCAUCGGCUCAAAAUGCUUAAGCCGGGUUAUUAUUACUAGCGUAUAGGCCUCAUAUAAACUGAUCAUAAUCAGUAUCUCAUCCGAUGUGGGACUAUUGGGGGCGUUACAGUGACAAACACAAAAAUUUAGCACAACUGAGCUGGCACGGAUGAAACUGGUUAGGAUAAAUUCUGAUUAAUUUUAACACCAGAUUCGAUGGGAUGCGAAUAUUUUUUAUUUUGAAAAAAAUCGUUCGAAAACAAAAUUAUAUUUAAACAAANGAAAACCGAAUUACAUUAAUAUUAUAUACACAUUUUAUCUAAAUUAGUUGUUAAUAUUUCAUAUUUUUGAUCAAAUCUUGAUUGCAUUACAUUUUUCAAAAUUAUUUAUUUAUGAUCAAGGUUUUUGUGUGAUAAUUUCAUAAUGAUUCUAUUUUGAUUCUUAAAUUAUUAUGAAUUGAUUCAUAAGAAAAUAGACAAUCUAAAACUUAAUUGCAAAACCGAACCAACCCGAAUUAAUUCAAUUUGGUUUGGAUCAGUUCCAAUAAUAACCGGUUCAACUCAGUUGGGUUGUAAAUUUUUUUCAAACCAAAGAAUUCGGUUCGGUUUAAGAAUUACCUAAAAAUCAAACAAAACUGAACCGAUUACUCCCAUACAGAUAAGCUACACUAUAGACCGUCUCUAGCACAAGUGACAUAACAGCUUGAUGGUAGUAUCCGAGAUUUCAAAUUCGAAUUCUUACUAUUUUACUUUCCAACUAAUCUGAAAACAAAUAAAUGAAGUGGUAACAUGCGAUCAUUCUCUAAGUAAGCUAUGCUAAAAAAAACUUUUUUAAUUAAAUUAUUUGCAAAACUAACAUAACUUAUGUUUUAAGGACACAAAAUGCCAAUGACAAACAACUCAUCUAUCAAUUAAUAUUACCAUUUGAUCCAAUAGAAUAAGCAACAACCAUCUAAAAAAACCAAAUAAACAAUUGCUCAUGUACCCAAUAGGAAAGCAAAUGUAGAGUUUUAAACAAUAGCAUAGCAUGCACCAUGUGAUGGAUUGGGCAUGAUUGACCCCCCCAUGUGUCGCAAGUGUUAAGCUACCUUAUUAUAAUUCAUACAAUAACACCAAUCCACAAGAAUCUCCUUUUUUUUUUUUUUUUUUUUUUUUUAAGGAUCAUGUUGAUAUUUGGUUCCAUUAAUUAAUGUCCUUUCGAAGUGGAACCGAGUCGAUUUGAUUUCGUUUAAUUUGAUGUGUUUGCGGGUUUGGGUAGGAGUUGUGUAAGUUUGAGACCAGUUUAGUAAUUUCUUUUAGGGUUAAUUAUAUACAGCUCUCUAUAAACAUAUCGAAUAGCAAAUAUAUCCUUACAAAGUUCAACAUUUUAUAUUUAUUUUCGCUUAAGUUUUAACAUUUUCAAAUAUAUCCCUACUGUAGAGAUCCAUUAAAAAAAUAUAAUUAAUUAUAGUUAAAAUACUUAACCCUUUUUAGUGAAUGAGGUAAAUUGACAUUUAUGUUUUUCUUAUAUUAUUUGUGAUGGUAGAAAAGAAGAAAAUGACCAUUAAAAAUUUUUUAGAGAAUAUUUCUGCAUAAUUUUAAUAGUUAAGGAAGAUAUUUGUAAUGGCAAAAAUAUCAUGUCACUUAUCUUUUAUUAAAAAAAUAAAUAAUGCUUUAAUGUCGACAAAUCAAAGAGGGAAAUAUAAAUAUCACUGGACUUCUAUAGAAAUAAAUAUAAAAAGUUGAACUGAACUUUAUGAAAAUAUAUUUGCUAUUCGGUAUGUUUACAAAAAACUGUAUGAAAUUGGCCCUUUUUUUUUUUCGUUCCUAUAGUUGAUAAAAAUGAAGAACGUAAAACACUACAUGCUUCAUUUUCAAUAUCGGAAUCCAUGAAAUAUUGGUCUUUCACUACAGCAAAAACGGUGUAUAGCGACGCUUUUAAAUAUAGGUACAUGUCAAAAAAGUGCUGCUAGGUAAAAUUACCGACAAUUUUAAAAAUUGUUGCUAUAUGUGGGAUCGCUAAGUAUAUAGUGACAGUUAAAGAGUGUCACUAUAACCUAAAAAGGUGCUGCUAAUUUACCAACACUUAUUUAAGCAUUUAGCAACCGCCGAAACUCUAUCUCGUUGGCUGCGGUCGCGGAGGAGGACAACAGGAAAGGCUCUUCGUCUAGAAUUUCAGUGGAUUGAAUGAAGAGAGAAGAAAAGAUGGUAAUUGAUUUUUCUUUUUUUUUUUCUUUUCUGUUUAUAAUCGGGUCAAAUGGACUGGGUGUGGUGGGUUGAGUAGAGUAAUCUUUUAUUUUUGGUUGGAUUGGGCUUUAUAUUUAGGCAUAAGUAGAUGUUUUUUUAAGUUUUAGCAUAAAUGGAACACUUACUCAAAAGUGUCACAAACAUGUGUCCCUAUAACCUAAUUCUGUUGUAGUGUUUGGUCAUGCAGUAUUAAAAUGUAGCAUUAAUU
rnacentral:lncRNA from 1 species